AUUGAACGCUGGCGGCAGGCCUAACACAUGCAAGUCGAACGGUAACAGGAAGCAGCUUGCUGCUUUGCGGACGAGUGGCGGGCGGGUGAGUAAUGUACGGGGAACUGCACUAUGGCGGGGGAGAACAACUGGAAACGGUAGCUAAUACAGCAUAACGUCGCAACACGAGAGGGGGGGGCCUUCUGGCCCCUUGCGAGCGGGUGUGCGCCGAUGUGGGAUUAGCUAGUGGGUGGGGUAACGGCUCACCUAGGCGACGAUCCCUAGCUGGUCUGAGAGGAUGACCAGCCACACUGGAACUGAGACACGGUCCAGACUCCUACGGGAGGCAGCAGUGGGGAAUAUUGCACAAUGGGCGCAAGCCUGAUGCAGCCAUGCCGCGUGUAUGAAGAAGGCCUUCGGGUUGUAAAGUACUUUUGGCGGGGAGGAAGGGAGUAAAGUUAAUACCUUUGCUCAUUGACGGUACCCGCAGAAGAAGCACCGGCUAACUCCGUG
rnacentral:rRNA from 1 species